rnacentral:ribozyme from 1 species
UGCCCAGCAACUCUUAUCCCUGCCUCCACGUGGCACCGGCUGGGCUGAGAGCAACCUUAGGGAAGAUCGGGUAACCAACCCCGGUGGGCACUUUGGUCGUAGGCUGACAGGGAAGG